GUCUACGGCCAUGCCACCCUGAACGUGCCCGAUCUCGUCUGAUCUCGGAAGCUGAGCCGGGUCAGGCCCGGUUAAUAUUUGGAUGGGAGACCACCUGGGAAGACCAGGUGCUUUAGGCG
rnacentral:rRNA from 1 species